ensembl:piRNA 21ur-7992 ncRNA
UUUCGUUUAAUUUCCGUUGGG